rnacentral:snoRNA from 1 species
GGACGAUGACGAGAGUGCACCUCCUCUGAUCCGGCGUGAGUGAUGAUACGCUGGGUCUGAGU